CAUUCGAGUGGCGGACGGGUGAGUAACGCGUGGGUAACCUGCCUUACACAGGGGGAUAACACCUGGAAACAGGUGCUAAUACCGCAUAAGCGCACAGGGCCGCAUGGCCCGGUGUGAAAAACUCCGGUGGUGUAAGAUGGACCCGCGUCUGAUUAGCUUGUUGGCGGGGUAGGGGCCCACCAAGGCGACGACCAGUAGCCGGCCUGAGAGGGUGGACGGCCACAUUGGGACUGAGACACGGCCCAAACUCCUACGGGAGGCAGCAG
rnacentral:rRNA from 1 species